UCCAAGUCUCCGCUUACCUUUGGUGACCACCCGUGGGGCAGCAGCUGGGGACAUCCCCAGACACUGCGACUCCACAUCUAGUUUCGCCUAAGAAGCUGGGGGAGGGUGAGUUUUGAUCUUCAAGUGAGUGAGUGCACCUCCCAAGGGAGGUCCCCGAGCCUAGCCAGCCUGUCACCAGGGACCUCCCCCCUCCCUGGUCCCCUCCAUGGCUCAGCAGGGCCUGGUUCUGGAACACAGGGCCAUGCACAGGACAGUACGGGGCCCAGAUUCCUGGUGAGGCUCCGCCCCCUCCCUGGUGGGCCGUGCCUCUGGGUCCUACCUGUCACAGCAGCUGAGCCCCACCUGAGGCUGACCAUGCCCCCCAGAGGCCCUGAGCCGGAGGGUGGGGAGCCCUGGGGAGGGCCUGCAGGGUCACUUGCAGAAGCAGUGCUUCCUGCAGGAAGGACAGAAGUGCCCGCCUUGCUCUCACUUCCUUUUUGGGGCCCGGGAGGGUGGGCCUGCGAGUGGCCGCUGCUAUUUAUGGGCCUUGCAGCGCCAAAGUGUGAAACCCCGGUCCCUCCCGGGGGGAAGAGCGGUGGAGGUGGUGACGGGGGCUGCAGCAGGUGACACCGUCCCAGGUCUGGGGCACCAUCUGCCCAGGGGUGGUGGCCGUCCAGUGGGAGGAGACACGCCAGGAGGCCAGGGUGGCCCUGUCAUUCCAACGCCCCUCGUCUCCUGCGGGUGACAGGGCCCCCGUUUGGAGCAGGAGUGACAGGAGUCAUGUUUGAGGGUCGCUGAGCAUCUUUCCUCACCCUGACUGUCCCCGGGCCGUGGCUGGGGGAUGGGGGACGCCUCGUGUUGUCAGAGGCCCCGGGUGGUUUGCGGGUGGCAGGAGGGACCGGGAGGGGGCUGCCCAGACGUGAGACUCACUCACAUCUGGAGCCUCGAAAUCUGCAUCGGGGCAAAUGAGCAGAGCUGCCUGCCUCCCUCUGGGGACUUUUCUGAUCUUUUUUUCUGUGCUAUCGGGACCCCUCUGGGUGCUCAUCGUCACCUGAUUUUACUAGAAUACAGAUGGCCAUGUGGCAUUCCUUUCCCCUCCCCCCCCCCGCCUCUCGCCUCUGUCCCUUCUUCCUUCCCAAUAGUACUUGUGGAGCCACACACACUGCUGGACGGAUGGUCAGAGUGGUCUUCAUGGGCAAGGUGAGAUUUGUAGGAGAUGGUGAGUCACCCAAACAGACGUCCGGACAAGGAGCAUGCCAGAAAGAGGUUAACGGCAUGUGCCAAGGUCCUGAGGUAGGAGCAUGAGCCACACGCUUGAGGUUCAGAGCAGGUAGAGGUGGAGCAGGGGCAAGAGUCAAGCUCAGCGCCUGGCACUCAGCGAUUACCCAGGAAACACAAGCUGUGGCCAGGACAGUGACAGUAGCUGCCACUCACCACGGCCUCAGGCAGUUGGUUCUCUCACCAUCUCCAAGUCUCCUUGGUCAAGUGCAUGUAUUUUACCCCCACCCCACCUCUACCGCUCACUCCAGACCCAAGACUUCUUCUCUGAACCUCUACUCCCUUCCAGAUGCAGGGGAGAGAUGGGUGGGCUGAGGAAGCCGCGGUGCUGCACUGCUCUCUAGGGAACACCAGCACAGGCAAACCGCUGAGUAUGAAGAAGUGGCCAACUGUGUUCAGUGCUGGGCUUGGGGACCUAGCUGGGCUCUGAGGGAGUUGGGCAGGUGGCUACCCAGAGUAAGGCUGGCAUAGCACAGCCUGUCCCCUCUGCAGGAUCAUCCACUUUUGGGGAUGGGAGCCCAAGCUUCCGAGGGUUGAGAGCCACCCUGAUCUCAGAGGAGGUUGUUCCUGGAAGCAAAGAUCCAGGAUGUAGUCAUGUUUUCUGUGGCUAUAACAAAAUGCCUGAGAUCAGGAAUACUGUUCUUAAAAAAAAAAAAAAAAAGAGGACAGUAGUACCAGGUCCCUGAAAUGUUGCUUUCACAAGGAUUUAACAAGCCCCAGGGGACUGUGAGAGCCAGGCCAGGGUGGCCUGCCUGGACACGUACUAUCCAGAAGGACCCUGGAAUUCUCCAAAGUAUGCUGAGAAUUAGAGCAAUGCAGUGCUCUCUCUAGUGAGCUGCUCUCUCGCCCACAUGCCCAGACAGCUGGACGCCGGUCACACGAGAAAGAAAACAGACUAAACAAAUCAAUGACUCGUGGCUUCUGUAAGCAACCCAUAAACCCCCUCCCUGUAGUAACUGGGACGGCUCGGUAACCUCGGGGAGGAAGGUGCGGGUCCAGGCAGCCCUUUUGAGGGGCAGAGGCACUCGGGUCCAGCCUGCCGCCAUUGGAUCUCCCCCAUAAACACUUCUCAACGAACCAUAUGGGCACCAUAUUCCUUCUCGGGGUCUCUUCCUUGAUCUCUCGGCCACCUAGUCCACGGCUCUGCCAUAAAUAGGCUGCAAAUGUCACACGGGGUGAUUUAUAAGGAAUAGGAAUUUAUUAACCUCCCAGGCCUGGUGGCUGGGAAGCUCACGGGCCUGGCUACUUGGCAUCUGCUGAGCGUCCACUGGGGCAUGGUUACGGGGCACAGGGUGAGCCAGAGCGUGGGGGCUAACUCUUCCUACAAGGGCACUAACACGGUGGUGGGGGCCCCAUCCCCACGGCCCCCUGGCCUCCUCAUUAGUCCCAGAGGCCACCAACAUGUGGAUCUGAGGGUUAAGUUUCUAACACAUGAACCUGGGGGACACUUCACAGCACAGCACAGGGCUUUUCCCCCCCAGGGACAGGGGAGACCUGGGGUCUCACAUCCAAUUGGGCCGUGGAGGCCUCUCCCUGUUGAUUCUGCGGAAGGAAGAAGAGCUCAUGGUCCGAGCUUUCCCCUCACUCAGUCCUCGAGACAGCCCUGCAAGGAGGGUGGAUGAAAGAACGGCGGGUACUCAUAGAAUGGAAUACUACACAGCCAAGAAAAUGAACUGCACUGCUGCACACAGCACAGGUGAAUCUCACAGGCUUGAUGUCGAGAGAAAGAAUCCAGACCUGAAGGAACAGAUGCGGCUCCGUUCAAGGAGUUCACCGUCAGGCAAGAGGUCAUCUCCAGGGACAGAGGUGACUUGGUGGGAAGGGCAAGGAACGGAACCUGGUACGGGGCCCGAGAUCCAUGUUCCUCGUGGGCGCUGAGAUUGCGUGGGUAUAGUCACGUGGGAAAGUCCUGGAAGCUGUCUCCCUGCUCUAUUUCCACUCACUCUCCCUGAGAGAGAAAAAGACCAGUCCUCCGUGCUCUGCGGACGCCGAGUUCCACGUGGGUCGUAGGGAAAUGAAGCCCAGGCUCCGGGGCUCCGUCUUUGAAGACCCUCUCUGCUCUCCCCACGGACCCCCUGUCCCUCACGGGGCUCACCUGGGGCGGGGAGGGGGACACCACGGGGGCCACAGGGCUGGAGGUGAAGCUGCCAGAGAGGACCCAGAGAUAGGAACAGCUGAUGGAACUUUCCAGAAAGCCCGUCACAGGGCGGGUCUCCUCCCACUCCUCUUUGAACUUCCAGGCUGGAGGGAGUGGCCAGGGCUGUCCGCCACGUCCAGGGAGACCUGACCCUGGCCAUCUGAGGGCCAUCGUGUGCUGGCCACCCCGCCCCGUGUCAUCUCCGACGAGGCCCACGCGGCCCAGGAGGCAGGUGGCAGAGCGAGGCUCAGGGCUCACUUGCAAGAGGAAAGCAGAGCCCGUGUGUGAGCCGGGAACCCAAGGUGCCAGGGAGGCACAGAUUCUUAGAGUCCACGGGAGGCCCCUUGCUGACCGGGUGAGGCUACCCAGAGAAGCCGUCUCAGCAGGGAGGCCCAGGUGAGAGGCCAGCACCUGAGCUUCCUAUAAGAAGUGUCCCCCACCCCGUGAUGAUCCGUCUGAGCCCCCGCUGGAUCCAGCAGGCCCCACGACACUCACCUCCUCCACCAACGGGUGAAGAGCCAGGUUUCGGGGCGUCUUCCUGCUGCUGCCCCGCAGAGCCCCCCCGAACUGCCGAGGUGGUGGGGAACAGAGGGGAAUUGUCCGCUUGGAGGCAGUGGGGGGUGGUCCUAGGUGGGAUCCCAGACCAGGUAAGAGCUGUCAGGGAUGAACCGGCCAGAUCCCAACAGGCCCUGGGUACUUGUAAGUCAAUGCUCACCUCGAUGACACCUUUCCCAGCGAUCGGAGGACCCCAGAGCGCUGCGGAAUUUAAAGUGUCUUUAA